CGGCGUGCUUAACACAUGCAAGUCGAACGAACCUUCGGGUUAGUGGCGGACGGGUGAGUAACGCGUGAGAAUCUGCCCUCAGGAGGGGGAUAACGGUUGGAAACGACCGCUAAUACCCCAUAUGCCUACUGGUGAAAUGAAUUUCGCCUGAGGAUGAGCUCGCGUCUGAUUAGCUAGUUGGUGAGGUAAUGGCUCACCAAGGCUUCGAUCAGUAGCUGGUCUGAGAGGAUGAUCAGCCACACUGGGACUGAGACACGGCCCAGACUCCUACGGGAGGCAGCAGUGGGGAAUUUUCCGCAAUGGGCGAAAGCCUGACGGAGCAACGCCGCGUGAGGGACGAAGGCCUCUGGGCUGUAAACCUCUUUUCUCAAGGAAGAAGAUAUGACGGUACUGAGGAAUAAGCCACGGCUAAUUCCGUGCC
rnacentral:rRNA from 1 species